CCUACGGGUGGCUGCAGUGAGGAAUAUUGGUCAAUGGACGGAAGUCUGAACCAGCCAUGCCGCGUGCAGGAAGACGGCUCUAUGAGUUGUCAACUGCUUUUGUACAAGGUUACACCUGAAUACGUGUAUUCAGCUGAACGUACUGUACGCAUAAUGAUCGGCUAACUCCGUGCCAGCAGCCGCGGUAAUACGGAGGAUCCAAGCGUGAUCCGGAUUUAUUGGGUUUAAAGGGUGCGUAGGCGGAUUGAUAAGUUAGAGUUGAAAUUUCAGAGCGUACCUCGGGAACUGCCUCUAAUACUGUUGAUCUAGAGAGUAGAUGCGGUAGGCGGAAUGUAUGGUGUAGCGGUGAAAUGCUUAGAGAUCAUACAGAACACCGAUUGCGAAGGCAGCUUACCAAUCUAUAUCUGACGUUGAGGCACGAAAGCGUGGGGAGCAAACAGGAUUAGAUACCCCAGUAGUC
rnacentral:rRNA from 1 species